UUAUCGGAGAGUUUGAUCCUGGCUCAGGACGAACGCUGGCGGCGUGCCUAAUACAUGCAAGUCGAGCGGACAGAUGGG
rnacentral:rRNA from 2 species